AAGGAUCAUUACAGUAUGAUUAGGGGGGCUUGUCGCUGGCUUCGGCAUGUGCGCGCCCCUCGCCUUCUAUUCCAUACACACCUGUGCACCUAUGGGGCGAGCGUCUCCCUUGAUUGGAGCCGUCCUGCGCGAGCGGGGCUGAGGCGCUCCCUCUUUUACUACAGCCGUCUUAACGCAUGUCUUGCGCUCCACGGAGCGAAAUGUUAAUACAACUUUCAACAACGGAUCUCUUGGCUUUCGCAUCGAUGAAGAACGCCGCGAAAGUGCGAAACGUAAUGUGAAUUGCAGAAUUCAGUGAAUCAUCGAAUCUUUGAACGCAUCUUGCGCUCCUUGGUAUUCCGAGGAGCAUGCCUGUUUGAGUGUCGUGAACCUCUCAAUCCCGUUUCAUUUUGUGAAGCGGGUUUGGAUUUGGACGCUGCCGUGGCUCACGCUUCGGCUCGUCUUGAAAUGCAUCAGCUGGUCCGCCGCCCGAGUUCAACAACGGUGUGAUAAGAAACGCUUCGUGACUGUGGCGCCGUGUUACGUUGGCUCGAGCGAGGGUNGCUUCUAAUCGUCUUCGGACAAACUCAUGUCAUCUGACCUCAAAUCAGGUAGGACUACCCGCUGAACUUAA
rnacentral:rRNA from 1 species